ACGAACGCUGGCGGCGUGCCUAAUACAUGCAAGUAGAACGCUGAAGGAGGAGCUUGCUUCUCUGGAUGAGUUGCGAACGGGUGAGUAACGCGUAGGUAACCUGCCUGGUAGCGGGGGAUAACUAUUGGAAACGAUAGCUAAUACCGCAUAAUAGUAGAUGUUGCAUGACAUUUGCUUAAAAGGUGCAAUUGCAUCACUACCAGAUGGACCUGCGUUGUAUUAGCUAGUUGGUGAGGUAACGGCUCACCAAGGCGACGAUACAUAGCCGACCUGAGAGGGUGAUCGGCCACACUGGGACUGAGACACGGCCCAGACUCCUACGGGAGGCAGCAGUAGGGAAUCUUCGGCAAUGGACGGAAGUCUGACCGAGCAACGCCGCGUGAGUGAAGAAGGGUUUCGGAUCGUAAAGCUCGGUUGUAAGAGAAGAACGAGUGUGAGAGUGGAAAGUUCACACUGUGACGGUAUCUUACCAGAAAGGGACGGCUAACUACGUG
rnacentral:rRNA from 1 species